rnacentral:piRNA from 1 species
UCCACAGGCACCUCUUGGGUGGACGCCCA